GGCCCCUUAGCCAAGCGGUAAGGCAGCGGAUUGCAAAUCCGCCAUCCCCGGUUCAAAUCCGGGAGGGGCCU
rnacentral:tRNA from 1 species